GGCUGGUCUGAGUGCAGUGGUGGUUACAACUAACUCAUCACAACCAGUCAUAGAUUUCGUUGUCCCUUCUCCACUCCCACUGCUUCACUUGACUGGCCUAAA
rnacentral:Y_RNA from 1 species